UGAUCAUGGCUCAGGAUGAACGCUGGCGGCGUGCCUAACACAUGCAAGUCGAGCGAAGCACUUUGCUUAGAUUCUUCGGAUGAAGAGGAUUGUGACUGAGCGGGCGGGACGGGGUGAGUAACGCGUGGGUAACCUGCCUCAUACAGGGGGGAUAACAGUUAGAAAUGACUGCUAAUACCGCAUAAGACCACAGCACCGCAUGGUGCGGGGGUAAAAACUCCGGUGGU
rnacentral:rRNA from 1 species